UGUCAUAAAUGCAAAGUACAGAUGCAUCAAACACCAUUACUUUCCAUCUGUUACAACUAACUCAUUAACAACCAUGCCUUUCUUUUCUUCUUUUUAAAUUCAAUUCCAUUUCCCCAUAUCUGGACCAAUAGAAAAUCAUGUUUCUAACCAUUUCCGUAUGCUAUUUAUUGACCGUUGCCUAAAUGAUUUAGUGGUGCCAUAAAUUUUCUAGACUUUUGAAUCUAUAAGUCUAUGUGCUAAUGCUUCUCUUGUCCAGGUUUCACAAUUUGGAAAAAAAUGAAGAUUUUUUCAGCUAAGGUUGAAGAGGGAAGGGAAGGCCUAGAUGAGAAGCCAGCAGUUGGUCCCGUGUAUUGUAAUUUACUCUCCAAGAAUGAGUUUCCUCCACCUGAUCCCAAUAUUAGUACAGCUUGGGAUGUUUUCAGGGCCAGGUGCUAUCAAUUUUAUUCUCGAUCAUGCAGAGGUUGAUUUUGUUUUUGUCCAGGAUAAAAAAGUGAAAGAAGUAAGAACUUUAAAAAAAUUUGCUUUGUGAUAAAAUGAUAUGCUUAAUCACAUAAGCUCACAUUUCAAAAGCAAUGGAUGUUUUGAUUGGACAAAUGUUCUUGUGUUUGCAUCUACUAAAUCCUGAUUGUAAAUCUGCUCAACAACUGAAAAGUAAGAAUGAUUAAAUAACUGCAGUCUGCUCCAUGUUAAGGCUUUCUACUGAGUUUGGUUGUGGUUGCAGUUAUGGUGUGCUUCACUUCCUUAACAGAGGAAGAGAAGAAUAAGGCAACUGAAAUUAGGAUAAAACCAUAUUCAUGGAAUGAGUUCUUUCAUAUGGUCAGUUUCCCAUUGUCUUGAUUGAAUAUUUUGUUCAAUAAACUAAUCUGCGUUCAAUGUAAAUAAACAUAGAACAUGUGUUUUCUUUCUCUUCAGUAGUAACUUUUCCUUAAAGAGAAAAGAGUACUUGUACAUCUUCUACUAGAUUAGAACUAGUAUUUGCGAUUCAUUGUGCUCUGCUCUAUAUGUUUUGACGCUAUUUUCUAUCUUCCUGGAAUUUGUCUUAGUAUAUCUCUAGUUGAAGAUGUUAAAUAAAUCUAUGCUAUGGAUCUCUCUGACAGCAAUGUGAGCAUUGUGUGUUUGGGCCCAUCUUAUAUGCAAAUGUAAGUGGAAUUCAUGCUAUGUGUUGUCAUGUCCCAUAUAUCCAUUUUGCAUAAAAAGUGGAUUCAUUUUCCCCCCAAAAAUUUGUAAGAUAUAUGGGUUACUUCUCACCAAAGCUUAGGUUAACUAACUUUAAAAUGUCUCAUUCUCACUGACAACAUAUUACUGUCAAUUUGCAUGCUUUCUUCUGUUUUGGUUGAUCUUAAGAUUUUAUUGUUCAUCAGGGAAAAGAAACCCCGUCAGAUUUGUCCACCUCAGUCUUUCCACAUUUGCACAAUUAUGUACACAAGUGGCACGAGUGGAGAUCCUAAAGGUGUUGUGUUAACACAUGAGAACAUUGCCUCUUUUAUAAGACGGAUGGAUCUAUUUAUGGCACAAUUUGAAGACAAGAUGAAUGAAGAUGAUGUGUAUCUUUCUUUCUUGCCCCUGGCUCAUAUCCUUGAUCUCAUGGUUGAAGAGUAUAAUGGUGCUUCUGUUGGCUACUAUCAUGGGUUAUGCUGCUGAAACUACUUCAUCACUUGUUUGAAGUUUGGGCCUCAUUUUUUUAUUUCUUUCAUCUGUAUGGUAUACAUGAGAAAAUAAAGAGAGAGAAGGGGGGGGGGGGAAUGAUGUGUACACACACACACACUAAUUGUUCUCAUGCUUGAUUGAUGAUGCAGUGACAUAGGACAAAUUGAGGAAUUUGUCUUCUUGUAAUUGUGGUGGAUUAAAGAGUAGUAGGAUUUGUGGAAAUAAGAUUUAGAGUUGUUGAAGAAAGGGUUAUGGGGUUGUGUUAGGAAGUAGAAGGGGAUUUGAUAGCUGUUUGGCAGAGGAAAGUAAGAGUGGGUCUAUAGCAGGGAGUUGUGUGUAUAGCAGGAAGUUGAGAAAGCAGGGGAAAAAAUAUUUAAAAAAAAAAAAAAACCUAUAGCCGCGUUUCUUAAAACGCAGCUAUAGACUCUUACUCAGCUGCUUGAAGCAACCUAUAGCCGCGUUGAUAACCGCAGCUCAAAGCUGUCCUGGAGCCGCGUUUCUAAUAAACGCGGCUAUAGGUUGGGGUCUACUGCUGCGUUUCCAAAAACGCGGCUAUAGGUAUGGUUUUAGCCGCGGUUUCAAAAAACGCAGCUAUAGGCUUUGAGCUGCGGACUUUAGGCCGCGUUUAUAAACGCGGCCAUAGGAAACGCGGCUAAAAGCCUAUAGCCGCGUUUUUGGGGUCUUAAGC